CUUUCUUUGCUGGCGACCGGCGCACGGGUGAGUAACACGUAUCCGACCUGCCCUUUACUCGGGGAUAGCCUUUCGAAAGAAAGAUUAAUACCCGAUAGCAUAAUGAUUCCGCAUGGUUUCAUUAUUAAAGGAUUCCGGUAAAGGAUGGGGAUGCGUUCCAUUAGGUUGUUGGUGAGGUAACGGCUCACCAAGCCUUCGAUGGAUAGGGGUUCUGAGAGGAAGGUCCCCCACAUUGGAACUGAGACACGGUCCAA
rnacentral:rRNA from 1 species